AAGAACCCUAGAAAUGGGGAUGGGGAAGGUAAGAAAUCUUUCUCGCGCAGCUCCUGAUCAGUCUCGUCUACAGGAUCGUCUACAGGCGGGUCAGAUGGCAUCCUCUCUUUCAUAUGAAGAGCUUGUCAUAGAUUCUAAAGUCCCGAGGCUUGGUUUUGCGAUUGACAGGGAUGGACUGAAGUUGUGGCGAGGCUUUCAGAGAUCCAUCUCGUGGGCGAAAGCCUGGUGAUGUGAGUAGUGCAUCGGUACAAGUUGGGAUAUUAAGUUCCCUGGUAUGUUUCUUGUUAUUCCCCAAGCAUUUUACUUUGAAAGCUCUAGCACCAGAAAGACCACUGAACCGGGCAAACAGUGUGGUCUCCAAGAAGUGAUAGACGCUCAACUUAUAGUUACGUAUAUGACAGUCCGGCUUCUCACUCACCAUCAGUGACGACAAACUCACUCACCUUUUAUUAGGACCACUUGAGGACUUUGCAUACAUUGCAAUUAUGAAUCUCUUUAAGAGUAAGCACUAAAAUUGAUAUUCCUUUGAGGUAAGAAAAGGGAAGAUGAGUUUAUAUAAAUUGGGUUUGAUAUAUGUUAUAAAAAAAAAUUCAAAAAAAUUAGUAUUCAAGAAA
rnacentral:lncRNA from 1 species